GUUUGGAAGUGAUUUCAAGCAAGAACAACCUUCAUAUUCUCAUCCAUUCUCAAAAACCCAUCUAAGAACUUGAAGGACGUAUAUAAAAAUCAAUCUCUGGGAUUGCGGUAUUAAAAUACGCACCCAAAGGUACUUGAAUUCGGCUUCGGGAAAUCAUGGCGUAUCUUGUGUUUGAUGAUGCAUGUUGUUUUGUUUAAAUAUGUUGGACAACUUUUAAACUUUCUGGGACUUUUGUAAUAAGAUCCGCGAGGAUCAAAGACAUCUUAACUAUGUA